AUUUGUGGAUUUUUAAAAAAAAGAAAAAGAAACCAUUCCCUCGGAAUAUAAUAAAAGCCGCAAGAGAUAAAAUUGUUGGACAAUCGAAUCGAGCAGAUAAUUAAGAAUUAAGAAAUGGAGGGCGUCGGUGGCCGCGCGAAUUUCGCAAACACCGGCCAAUUAAUUAGCAGCCACUGGAUUAAGCCAAUUGAUCGAGGGUCCGCCGGCGAGAGAGGCCGGUUCCGUGAAUUGAAAUUGAUUAGGAGGGGCGUUUCUUCUUUUCGUCUUCGUAGAGAUCCCUCCACGCGAUUCUUUCGGUCAAGAAGAGGUUCGUUACGUUAUGACGAAGGAAGUCCAUUAGAUCCGGAAAAACUGGACAGGUUGGCUCCAGUUGUUCGUGUGACUUCGAGGCACUCGGACGUGUUACUCCGGCAACAUCGAUAUCGGAGUUGUCCGUUUAUUUUUUGCGGAAAUGUAAGAAACGUUGUCGCGUACUUGGAUCCCGUUACAAGUUUUUCGGCGGGGUAACGAUGGCAGGGGUAAAGGUGAUCGCGCGGUCACGACACGCUGCAGAUACGUGUACGCGCGACAAGCGUAUGGAUCACGGGCGAUUAUCAAUUUCUGAAUAAAUGGCAGCUUGAAAACGUAAAAAGUGAGUAUAAAAAAUAUAUCGAGAACAUAAAAUAGAACGUCGUGAUGCUCAUAUUGGUAUAUUAAAAAAUAUGCGGUACUGUUUAAAAGGAUAAAAUUAGCUUCAUAAGUUUUUUACGAGUCCACCUACGAAAAAAUUGAGGACACCAGCCCUUUCGAAACCAAUCAACUUUAUCCGAAGCAUUUUUUAAUAUUAUGAAGAAUAAUAUAAGUACGUACAAGUCCAAAUCAAUUGUUAAUUAAAAAAUAUGUAUCAUUAAUUGUAAAUUAUAUUCAAUAAACAUUAUUUUUCAAUAAAUAGAGGAGUUUUUUAUUUAAAAAACAUUAUUCCAAAACCUCCAUUCCUUCCAAUCCUUUAGAUUUAAGUAAUUUAAGUAUAAAUG